UACGGAGGAUUCGAGCGUUAUCCGGAUUUAUUGGGUUUAAAGGGUGCGUAGGCGGUCGGAUAAGUUAGAGGUGAAAUCCCGGGGCUCAACUUCGGAAUUGCCUCUGAUACUGUUCGGCUAGAGAGUAGUUGCGGUAGGCGGAAUGUAUGGUGUAGCGGUGAAAUGCUUAGAGAUCAUACAGAACACCGAUUGCGAAGGCAGCUUACCAAGCUACUUCUGACGUUGAGGCACGAAAGCGUGGGGAGCAAACGGG
rnacentral:rRNA from 1 species